AGGGGAGUGAAAAAGAACCUGAAACCGUGUACGUACAAGCAGUGGGAGCACAGAGCAAUCUGUGUGACUGCGUACCUUUUGUAUAAUGGGUCAGCGACUUAUAUUCUGUAGCAAGGUUAACCGAAUAGGGGAGCCGAAGGGAAACCGAGUCUUAACUGGGCGUUAAGUUGCAGGGUAUAGACCCGAAACCCGGUGAUCUAGCCAUGGGCAGGUUGAAGGUUGGGUAACACUAACUGGAGGACCGAACCGACUAAUGUUGAAAAAUUAGCGGAUGACUUGUGGCUGGGGGUGAAAGGCCAAUCAAACCGGGAGAUAGCUGGUUCUCCCCGAAAGCUAUUUAGGUAGCGCCUCGUGAAUUCAUCUCCGGGGGUAGAGCACUGUUUCGGCAAGGGGGUCAUCCCGACUUACCAACCCGAUGCAAACUGCGAAUACCGGAGAAUGUUAUCACGGGAGACACACGGCGGGUGCUAACGUCCGUCGUGAAGAGGGAAACAACCCAGACCGCCAGCUAAGGUCCCAAAGUCAUGGUUAAGUGGGAAACGAUGUGGGAAGGCCCAGACAGCCAGGAUGUUGGCUUAGAAGCAGCCAUCAUUUAAAGAAAGCGUAAUAGCUCACUGGUCGAGUCGGCCUGCGCGGAAGAUGUAACGGGGCUAAACCAUGCACCGAAGCUGCGGCAGCGACGCUGAUGCGUUGUUGGGUAGGGGAGCGUUCUGUAAGCCUGCGAAGGUGUGCUGUGAGGCAUGCUGGAGGUAUCAGAAGUGCGAAUGCUGACAUAAGUAACGAUAAAGCGGGUGAAAAGCCCGCUCGCCGGAAGACCAAGGGUUCCUGUCCAACGUUAAUCGGGGCAGGGUGAGUCGACCCCUAAGGCGAGGCCGAAAGGCGUAGUCGAUGGGAAACAGGUUAAUAUUCCUGUACUUGGUGUUACUGCGAAGGGGGGACGGAGAAGGCUAUGUUGGCCGGGCGACGGUUGUCCCGGUUUAAGCGUGUAGGCUGGUUUUCCAGGCAAAUCCGGAAAAUCAAGGCUGAGGCGUGAUGACGAGGCACUGCGGUGCUGAAGCAACAAAUGCCCUGCUUCCAGGAAAAGCCUCUAAGCAUCAGGUAACAUCAAAUCGUACCCCAAACCGACACAGGUGGUCAGGUAGAGAAUACCAAGGCGCUUGAGAGAACUCGGGUGAAGGAACUAGGCAAAAUGGUGCCGUAACUUCGGGAGAAGGCACGCUGAUAUGUAGGUGAAGUCCCUCGCGGAUGGAGCUGAAAUCAGUCGAAGAUACCAGCUGGCUGCAACUGUUUAUUAAAAACACAGCACUGUGCAAACACGAAAGUGGACGUAUACGGUGUGACGCCUGCCCGGUGCCGGAAGGUUAAUUGAUGGGGUUAGCGCAAGCGAAGCUCUUGAUCGAAGCCCCGGUAAACGGCGGCCGUAACUAUAACGGUCCUAAGGUAGCGAAAUUCCUUGUCGGGUAAGUUCCGACCUGCACGAAUGGCGUAAUGAUGGCCAGGCUGUCUCCACCCGAGACUCAGUGAAAUUGAACUCGCUGUGAAGAUGCAGUGUACCCGCGGCAAGACGGAAAGACCCCGUGAACCUUUACUAUAGCUUGACACUGAACAUUGAGCCUUGAUGUGUAGGAUAGGUGGGAGGCUUUGAAGUGUGGACGCCAGUCUGCAUGGAGCCGACCUUGAAAUACCACCCUUUAAUGUUUGAUGUUCUAACGUUGACCCGUAAUCCGGGUUGCGGACAGUGUCUGGUGGGUAGUUUGACUGGGGCGGUCUCCUCCUAAAGAGUAACGGAGGAGCACGAAGGUUGGCUAAUCCUGGUCGGACAUCAGGAGGUUAGUGCAAUGGCAUAAGCCAGCUUGACUGCGAGCGUGACGGCGCGAGCAGGUGCGAAAGCAGGUCAUAGUGAUCCGGUGGUUCUGAAUGGAAGGGCCAUCGCUCAACGGAUAAAAGGUACUCCGGGGAUAACAGGCUGAUACCGCCCAAGAGUUCAUAUCGACGGCGGUGUUUGGCACCUCGAUGUCGGCUCAUCACAUCCUGGGGCUGAAGUAGGUCCCAAGGGUAUGGCUGUUCGCCAUUUAAAGUGGUACGCGAGCUGGGUUUAGAACGUCGUGAGACAGUUCGGUCCCUAUCUGCCGUGGGCGCUGGAGAACUGAGGGGGGCUGCUCCUAGUACGAGAGGACCGGAGUGGACGCAUCACUGGUGUUCGGGUUGUCAUGCCAAUGGCACUGCCCGGUAGCUAAAUGCGGAAGAGAUAAGUGCUGAAAGCAUCUAAGCACGAAACUUGCC
rnacentral:rRNA from 1 species